CAGAGGUGGUCUAUCCAGAGGUGGUCUAUCUAGAGGUGGUCUAUCCAGAGGUGGUCUAUCUAGAGGUGGUCUAUCCAGAGGUGGUCUAUCCAGAGGUGGUCUAUCCAGAGGUGGUCUAUCCAGGGGUGGUCUAUCUAGAGGUGGUAGUGUGGUCUAUCCAGAGGUGGUCUAUCCAGAGGUGGUCUAUCCAGAGGUGGUCUAUCCAGGGGUGGUCUAUCUAGAGGUGGUCUAUCCAGAGGUGGUCUAUCCAGAGGUGGUCUAUCCAGAGGUGGUCUAUCUAGAGGUGGUCUAUCCAGAGGUGGUCUAUCUUGAGGUGGUCUAUCCAGGGGUGGUCUAUCUAGAGGUGGUCUAUCUUGAGGUGGUCUAUCCAGG